ACCUCCCUCUUUCUUCAUGCCUAACACAUGCAAGUCGAACGAGACCUUCGGGUCUAGUGGCGCACGGGUGCGUAACGCGUGGGAACCUGCCCUUAGGUUCGGAAUAACUCCCCGAAAGGGGUGCUAAUACCGGAUAAUGUCUUCGGACCAAAGAUUUAUCGCCUUUGGAUGGGCCCGCGUUGGAUUAGCUAGUUGGUAGGGUAAAAGCCUACCAAGGCGACGAUCCAUAGCUGGUCUGAGAGGAUGAUCAGCCACACUGGGACUGAGACACGGCCCAGACUCCUACGGGAGGCAGCAGUGGGGAAUAUUGGACAAUGGGCGAAAGCCUGAUCCAGCAAUGCCGCGUGAGUGAUGAGGGCCUUAGGGUUGUAAAGCUCUUUUACCCGGGAUGAUAAUGACAGUACCGGGAGAAUAAGCUCCGGCUAACUCCGUG
rnacentral:rRNA from 1 species